CCUAACCGAAUCCCACAGCAUUUUUUUUUUUUUGAGGAACUCAUAGUUACUGACUGAUCAUGAAAAGCACUGGAAUCAUGCAUUCUAAACAAUUGUUUAUUUUAGGCUUAAUUACAUUUACCUCCCCUGAGAUUUGGCCAAACUACUAAAUAAACCUCGAAAUUUAACCAAAUAACAGUCAAAGCCUUUGAAUGAGCAAAUGUUUAUUAAAAUACUCCCUGCCAUCUUUCACCAUUAUAGAUGGUGUUAACAUCAGCAAAAAACUAGUAUCAGGGUUCAAAAAUGCCCUUGUACAAAAUAAAAACAAUAAUAAUAAUAAAACCAAAACAUAGUUUAAUUCCUUUUAUACUUGAUAAUUCUUCAAAAAGACUAACAAAAAAAGAAAUAUUUCUUUUAUGAGGCAAGAGAAAGGCAAAAGCUUAAAGAUAGUAUUUUCCACAAAGAAAAAGUAAAUACUUAAUAUUGUCUCCUAAGAAAUAA
rnacentral:lncRNA from 1 species